rnacentral:tRNA from 1 species
GGAUAUAACUCAGCUGGAUAGAGCGACGGCCUCCUAAGCCGUAGGUCGCCGGUUCGAAUCCCGUUGUCCG